rnacentral:rRNA from 1 species
AACGAACCUUCGGGUUAGUGGCGGACGGGUGAGUAACGCGUGGGAAUCUGCCCUCAGGAGGGGGAUAACGGUUGGAAACGGCCGCUAAUACCCCAUAUGCCGAGAGGUGAAAUGAAUUUCGCCUGAGGAUGAGCCCGCGUCUGAUUAGCUAGUUGGUGAGGUAAGAGCUCACCAAGGCAUCGAUCAGUAGCUGGUCUGAGAGGAUGAUCAGCCACACUGGGACUGAGACACGGCCCAGACUCCUACGGGAGGCAGCAGUGGGGAAUUUUCCGCAAUGGGCGAAAGCCUGACGGAGCAACGCCGCGUGAGGGAUGAAGGCCUCUGGGCUGUAAACCUCUUUUAUCAAGGAAGAAGAUCUGACGGUACUUGAUGAAUAAGCCACGGCUAAUUCCGUGCCAGCAGCCGCGGUAAUACGGGAGUGGCAAGCGUUAUCCGGAAUUAUUGGGCGUAAAGCGUCCGCAGGCGGCCCAACAAGUCUGCUGUUAAAAAGUGGAGCUUAACUCCAUCAUGGCAGUGGAAACUGUUGGGCUCGAGUGUGGUAGGGGCAGAGGGAAUUCCCGGUGUAGCGGUGAAAUGCGUAGAUAUCGGGAAGAACACCAGUGGCGAAGGCGCUCUGCUGGGCCAUCACUGACGCUCAUGGACGAAAGCCAGGGGAGCGAAAGGGAUUAGAUACCCCUGUAGUCCUGGCCGUAAACGAUGAACACUAGGUGUCGGGGGAAUCGACCCCUCCGGUGUCGUAGCCAACGCGUUAAGUGUUCCGCCUGGGGAGUACGCACGCAAGCGUGAAACUCAAAGGAAUUGACGGGGGCCCGCACAAGCGGUGGAGUAUGUGGUUUAAUUCGAUGCAACGCGAAGAACCUUACCAGGGUUUGACAUCCUGCGAAUCUCUUGGAAACUUGAGAUGCUUCGGGAGCGCAGUGACGGUGGUGAUGGCUGCGUCAGUCUGUCGUGAGAUGUUGGUUAAGUCCCGCAACGAGCGCAACCCACGUCUUUAGUU